AAAAAAAAAAAAAAAAAAAACUAGCUAUCUAAAGGGCCUUCAUGUUUUGAUUCUGGAGUCUUGAUUAUUAGAAAGGAAAAAAGAAAGAAAUUAAACAUGUUCUAGCACAUAACAACAUUUAAUACAUAUCACUUUAAUUGUUUGGUUAUAACUUUUAUCCAGCACAUUUCUUAUGAUGAUACUAUAGAUCAUUUGUAGCCACGCUCUUUCCUCCUAAGGUGCAGAACAAAAGCAUGGUGGUAAGUAAUUUUUAUUUUCUGCUGUGAAAGUUACUUCAAGAAGAAUCAGUUGUUUAGCCAAAAAAAUUAUGAUAGUAGCAAUGAAAAUUGUCCAAAUCCUGCAAAUUUUAUAUAUAUAUAUGGCUAAAACAACAAAAGGAGAUGUAUUGCACCGCAGGCACAUACCUGAGAAGCAUUUUUAAUAUGAUAAAACCGAUGAGCAUAUUUCCCAGGAAAACCAGACUCCAUGGAAUGUAAAUCAGCUCCACCUUUUGCUCUGUCACACACAACCACCAUGAAUGAUGAUAAUUAUUGUCAAAUAAUAAUAAUGAUAAUAAUAA
rnacentral:misc_RNA from 1 species